CGGACGGGUGAGUAACGCGUAGGAAUCUGCCUAACAGCGGGGACAACCUGGAGAAAUCCAGGCUAAUACCGCAUACGCCCUACGGGGGAAAGAAGGCCUCUUCUUGAAAGCUUUCACUGUUAGAUGAGCCUGCGUUAGAUUAGCUUGUUGGUGGGGUAAUGGCCCACCAAGGCGACGAUCUAUAGCUGGUCUGAGAGGAUGACCAGCCACACUGGGACUGAGACACGGCCCAG
rnacentral:rRNA from 1 species